rnacentral:rRNA from 1 species
GCGAGUCGAGAGGGUACGGCCCUCGGCGGACGGCUCAGUAACACGUGGACAAUCUGCCCUUAGGUGGGGGAUAAUCUCGAGAAAUUGAGCAUAAUACCCCAUAGCUCUAGGUUGCUGCAAUGCUUCUAGAGUAAAAGCCCCGGCGCCUAAGGAUGAGCCUGCGGCCUAUCAGGUUGUAGUGAGUGUAACGGACUCACUAGCCGACGACGGGUACGGGUCCUGGAAGGGAGCGCCCGGAGAUGGACUCUGAGACACGAGUCCAGGCCCUACGGGGCGCAGCAGCUACGAAAACUUCACAAUGCGGGCAACCGUGAUGAGGGAAUUCCAAGUGCUUAUACUUUGUAUAAGCUGUUUACUUGCCUAAAAAGCAGGUAGAGUAAGGGCUGGGUAAGACUGGUGCCAGCCGCCGCGGUAAUACCAGCAGCCCAAGUGGUGAUCGCUAUUAUUGGGCCUAAAGCGUCCGUAGCCGGUUUGGUAAACCCUUGGGUAAAUCGGGCAGCUUAACUGUCCGAAUUCUGAGGAGACUGCUAGACUUGGGACCGGGAGAGGUCAGAGGUACUUCUAGGGUAGAGGUGAAAUUCUGUAAUCCUAGGAGGACCACCAGUGGCGAAGGCGUCUGACUAGAACGGGUCCGACGGUAAGGGACGAAACCCUGGGGCGCGAACCGGAUUAGAUACCCGGGUAGUCCAGGGCGUAAACGCUGCGGGCUUGGUGUUGGGGGUCCUACGAGGGCGUCCAGUGCCGGAG